GACGAACGCUGGCGGCGUGCUUAACACAUGCAAGUCGAGCGGAGCGGCGAACGGGAGAGGAACGCGUGAGUAACUGCCCCCCCCUCUGGGAUAACAGUUGGCAACGGCUACUGAUACCGGAUAGUGGGGGAUGACUCGCGUCCGAUCAGCUGGUGGGUGGGGUGGUGGCCUACCAAGGCGGCGACGGGUAGCCGGCCUGAUAGGGCGACCGGCCACAUUGGGCUGAGAUACGGCCCAGACUCCUACGGGAGGCAGCAGUGGGGAAUAUUGCACAAUGGGGGAAACCCUGAUGCAGCAACGCGCGUGGGGGAUGACGGCCUUCGGGUUGUAAACCGCUUUCAGCAAUGACGCGGUAGUGGCAGAAGAAGCACCGGCUAACUACGUGCCAGCAGCCGCGGUAAUAC
rnacentral:rRNA from 1 species